CACGUAGGGGGCAAGCGUUGUCCGGAUUCAUUGGGCGUAAAGAGCUCGUAGGCGGUUUGUCGCGUCUGCUGUGAAAACCCGAGGCUCAACCUCGGGCCUGCAGUGGGUACGGGCAGACUAGAGUGCGGUAGGGGAGAUUGGAAUUCCUGGUGUAGCGGUGGAAUGCGCAGAUAUCAGGAGGAACACCGAUGGCGAAGGCAGAUCUCUGGGCCGUAACUGACGCUGAGGAGCGAAAGCAUGGGUAGCGAACAGG
rnacentral:rRNA from 1 species